CAGCAGCCGCGGGAAUACGGAGGGUGCAAGCGUUAAUCGGAAUUACUGGGCGUAAAGCGCACGCAGGCGGUCUGACAAGUCAGAUGUGAAAUCCCCGGGCUUAACCUGGGAACUGCAUUUGAAACUGUCAGGCUGGAGUCUUGUAGAGGGGGGUGGAAUUCCAGGUGUAGCGGUGAAAUGCGUAGAGAUCUGGAGGAAUACCGGUGGCGAAGGCGGCCCCCUGGACAAAGACUGACGCUCAGGUGCGAAAGCGUGGGGAGCAAACAGGAUUAGAUACCCUGUAGUCCCUGUCUCUUAUACA
rnacentral:rRNA from 1 species